AUAUAAUGAUAAAUAAUAAACUGCUGUAACUACUUUAUUUUUUGUUUGCCUUGGGUGCUUUGGUGUGCCUUUUCGCGCUUGUUGCUAAUAUAUAUAUAUAUAGGCAAAAAUAUAUAUUAGCAACAAGCAUGAAAAGGCACACCAAAGCACCGAGGGCAAACAAAAAAUAAAGGUAGUUACAACAGUUUAUUAUUCAUCAUUAUAU